UGGGGUGUAGCCAAGCGGUAAGGCACCGGUCUUUGGAAUCGGCAUUUCGUUGGUUCGAAUCCAGCCACCCCAGCCA
rnacentral:tRNA from 1 species